UAAUAGUUUAUGAAAAACAUUGGUCUUGUAAACCAAAGACUGAAGGCUGUCCCCCUUCUUAGAGUU
rnacentral:tRNA from 1 species